rnacentral:rRNA from 1 species
UACGGAGGGGGCUAGCGUUGUUCGGAAUUACUGGGCGUAAAGCGCACGUAGGCGGCUUUGUAAGUUAGAGGUGAAAGCCCAGGGCUCAACCCUGGAAUUGCCUUUAAGACUGCAUCGCUUGAACAUCGGAGAGGUAAGUGGAAUUCCGAGUGUAGAGGUGAAAUUCGUAGAUAUUAGGAAGAACACCAGUGGCGAAGGCGGCUCACUGGUCCGGUACUGACGCUGAGGUGCGAAAGCGUGGGGAGCAAACAGG